GAGUGGCGAACGGGUGAGUAACACGUGGGAAACCUACCUCUUAGCAGGGGAUAACAUUUGGAAACAGAUGCUAAUACCGUAUAACAAUGACAACCGCAUGGUUGUUAUUUAAAAGAUGGUUCUGCUAUCACUAAGAGAUGGUCCCGCGGUGCAUUAGCUAGUUGGUAAGGUAAUGGCUUACCAAGGCGAUGGGGCAUAGCCGAGUUGAGAGACUGAUCGGCCACAAUGGGACUGAGACACUGCCCAUACUCCUACGGGAGGCAGCAGUAGGGAAUCUUCCACAAUGGGCGAAAGCCUGAUGGAGCAACGCCGCGUGUGUGAUGAAGGGUUUCGGCUCGUAAAACACUGUUGUAAGAGAAGAAUGACAUUGAGAGUAACUGUUCAAUGUGUGACGGUAUCUUACCAGAAAGGAACGGCUAAAUACGUGCCAGCAGCCGCGGUAAUACGUAUGUUCCAAGCGUUAUCCGGAUUUAUUGGGCGUAAAGCGAGCGCAGACGGUUAUUUAAGUCUGAAGUGAAAGCCCUCAGCUCAACUCGUAGGAAUUGCUUUGGAAACUGGAUGACUUGAGUGCAGUAGAGGAAAGUGGAACUCCAUGUGUAGCGGUGAAAUGCGUAGAUAUAUGGAAGAACACCAGUGGCGAAGGCGGCUUUCUGGACUGUAACUGACGUUGAGGCUCGAAAGUGUGGGUAGCAAACAGGAUUAGAUACCCUGGUAGUCCACACCGUAAACGAUGAGUGCUAGGUGUUUGAGGGUUUCCGCCCUUAAGUGCCGCAGCUAACGCAUUAAGCACUCCGCCUGGGGAGUACGACCGCAAGGUUGAAACUCAAAGGAAUUGACGGGGACCCGCACAAGCGGUGGAGCAUGUGGUUUAUUCGAAGCAACGCGAAGAACCUUACCAGGUCUUGACAUCCCUUGACAACUCCAGAGAUGGAGUGUUCCCUUCGGGGACAAGGUGACAGGUGGUGCAUGGUUGUCGUCAGCUCGUGUCGUGAGAUGUUGGGUUAAGUCCCGCAACGAGCGCAACCCUUAUUACUAGUUGCCAGCAUUCAGUUGGGCACUCUAGUGAGACUGCCGGUGACAAACCGGAGGAAGGUGGGGAUGACGUCAAAUCAUCAUGCCCCUUAUGACCUGGGCUACACACGUGCUACAAUGGCGUAUACAACGAGUUGCCAACCCGCGAGGGUGAGCUAAUCUCUUAAAGUACGUCUCAGUUCGGAUUGUAGGCUGCAACUCGCCUACAUGAAGUCGGAAUCGCUAGUAAUCGCGGAUCAGCACGCCGCGGUGAAUACGUUCCCGGGUCUUGUACACACCGCCCGUCACACCAUGAGAGUUUGUAACACCCAAAGCCGGUGGGGUAACCUUCGGGAGCCAGCCGUCUAAGGUGGGACAGAUGAUUAGGGUGAAGUCGUAACAAGGUAGCCGUAGGAGAACCUGCGGCAGGACAACCUCC
rnacentral:rRNA from 1 species